UACGUAGGGGGCUAGCGUUGUCCGGAAUCAUUGGGCGUAAAGAGCGUGUAGGCUGUUCGGUAAGUCUGCCGUGAAAACCUGAGGCUCAACCUCGGGCGUGCGGUGGAUACUGCCGGGCUAGAGGACGGUAGAGGCGAGUGGAAUUCCCGGUGUAGCGGUGAAAUGCGCAGAUAUCGGGAGGAAUACCUGUGGCGAAGGCGGCCUACUGGGCCGGACCUGACGCUGAGACGCGAAGGCGUGGGGAGCGAACGGG
rnacentral:rRNA from 1 species